rnacentral:rRNA from 1 species
GUUGCUGCUGGUUCUUUUGGGAGCAUGUGCACACUUGUCAUCUUUAUAUCUUCACCUGUGCACCUUUUGUAGACCUGAGUAUCUCUCUGGAUGCUUUUUAGCACUCAGGAUUUGAGGAUUGACUUUUUUUUGUCUCUUCUUCACAUUUUCAGGUCUAUGUUUCUUCAUAUACCCUAUGUAUGUUAAUAGAAUGUCAUUAAUGGGCCUUUGUGCCUAUACAAAUUACAACUUUCAGCAACGGAUCUCUUGGCUCUCGCAUCGAUGAAGAACGCAGCGAAAUGCGAUAAGUAAUGUGAAUUGCAGAAUUCAGUGAAUCAUCGAAUCUUUGAACGCACCUUGCGCUCCUUGGUAUUCCGAGGAGCAUGCCUGUUUGAGUGUCAUUAAUAUAUCAACCUUCUUUGGUUGGAUGUGGGUUUGCUGGCCUCUUGAGGUCAGCUUUCCUCAAAUGCAUUAGCGGACAACAUUUUGCCAACCGUUCAUUGGUGUGAUAAUUAUCUACGCUAUUGACGUGAAGCAAGGUUCAGCUUCUAAAUGUCCAUUGACUUGGACAAAUUUAUUUUAUUAAUGUGACCUCAAAUCAGGUAGGACUACCCGCUGAACUUAAGCAUAUCAAUAA